UACGUAGGGUGCGAGCGUUGUCCGGAAUUAUUGGGCGUAAAGAGCUCGUAGGCGGCUUGUCACGUCGAUUGUGAAAGCCCGAGGCUUAACCUCGGGUCUGCAGUCGAUACGGGCUAGCUAGAGUGUGGUAGGGGAGAUUGGAAUUCCUGGUGUAGCGGUGGAAUGCGCAGAUAUCAGGAGGAACACCGAUGGCGAAGGCAGAUCUCUGGGCCGUAACUGACGCUGAGGAGCGAAAGCGUGGGGAGCGAACAGG
rnacentral:rRNA from 1 species